GGAAAAGAAACCACCAGGGAUUGCCUCAGUAGCGGCGAGUGAAGCGGCAAAAGCUCAAAUUUGAAAUCUGGCGUCUUUGGCGUCCGAGUUGUAAUUUGAAGAAGGUAUCUUUGGGCCCGGCUCUUGUCUAUGUUCCUUGGAACAGGACGUCACAGAGGGUGAGAAUCCCGUGCGAUGAGAUGACCCGGGUCUGUGUAAAGUUCCUUCGACGAGUCGAGUUGUUUGGGAAUGCAGCUCUAAGUGGGUGGUAAAUUCCAUCUAAAGCUAAAUAUUGGCGAGAGACCGAUAGCGAACAAGUACAGUGAUGGAAAGAUGAAAAGAACUUUGAAAAGAGAGUGAAAAAGUACGUGAAAUUGUUGAAAGGGAAGGGCUUGAGAUCAGACUUGGUAUUUUGCAUGCUGCUCUCUCGGGGGCGGCCGCUGCGGUUUACCGGGCCAGCAUCGGUUUGGAGCGGCAGGAUAAUGGCGGAGGAAUGUGGCACGGCUUCUGCUGUGUGUUAUAGCCUCUGACGAUACUGCCAGCCUAGACCGAGGACUGCGGUUUUUACCUAGGAUGUUGGCAUAAUGAUCUUAAGUCGCCCGUCUU
rnacentral:rRNA from 1 species